UUCUCAAAGAUUUGAUGGUGUAGCCGAAGUCCAUAUGAGUCUCUGGCUUUGUAUCUUCUAAUACGGAACCACUACUUUAGCUUAUGGAAACCAAUUGCGGUUUUAGUUCUUAUACUCAAAAUUACACAUGACAUCUAGUCAUAUUUGACUCCAAAAUACUAACCAAGCUUCUUUUUGCUUUUCAAAGCUUUGAUGGUGUAGCAGAAGUCCGUAUGAGUCUUUGGCUUUGUUUCCUCUAACAAGGAAG
rnacentral:sRNA from 1 species